UUCCGGUUGAUCCUGGCGGACCCGACUGCUAUCGGAUUGAGAUUUAGCCAUGCGAGUCGAACGUCCCCCUGUUGCGGGGGGCGUGGCGUACGGCUCAGUAACACGUAGUCAACCUGCCCUGGAGACAAGGACAACCCCGGGAAACUGGGAUUAAUCCUUGAUAGGUCAUCUCAUCUGGAAGGAGAGAUGGCUUAAAGGGGUACGCGGGCCUCCUCCGCGAAUUCGCUCCAGGAUGGGACUGCGUCCGAUCAGGCUGUUGGCGGGGUAAUGGCCCACCAAACCUGUAACCGGUACGGGCCUUGAGAGAGGUGGCCCGGAGAUGGACACUGAGAGAAGGGUCCAGGUCCUACGGGGCGCAGCAGGCGCGAAACCUUCGCAAUGCGCGAAAGCGUGACGAGGUUAAUCCGAGUGACUUCCGCUGAGGAGGUCUUUUGUCAGCUGUAAAUAGGCAGGCGAAUAAGGGGAGGGCAAGCCUGGUGUCAGCCGCCGCGGUAAUACCAGCUCCUCGAGUGGUCGGGGCGAUUAUUGGGCCUAAAGCAUCCGUAGCCGGUUCCGUAGGUCCUCUGUUAAAUCCAACCGCUUAACGGUUGACCUGCAGAGGAUACCGCGGGACUAGGAGGCGGGAGAGGCGGACGGUACUCCGCGUGUAGGGGUAAAAUCCUUUGAUCCGCGGAAGACACCAGUGGCGAAGGCGGUCCGCCAGAACGCGCUCGACGGUGAGGGAUGAAAGCUGNGGGAGCGAACCNGAUUAGAUACCGGGUAGUCCCAGCCGUAAACGAUGCUAGCUAGAUGA
rnacentral:rRNA from 1 species